AGCUUAACACUAAUUGUAUUGAAUCAAAGAUUAAGAAAUACAAAAUGUCAAAUAUAUCCUUUUAUAGGAUUAAGAGUUAACUAACUAUCUUAUUACUACACUAAUUAAUGAUAUAGCUUCUAAUAACUAGAAACUGUAUCUGCUCUGAUCUUCUCAACAUCAGCUCGUAUACCUACUCCAUUUACCAGCAUCGUAUCACAUACAUAUAAGUUAUAACUAAAGAGGAAAAGAAGAACUUGAAAAACCUUUUUUUUUCUGACAUAACUAAAAGAGCUCGUGUCCUCUAGACGAGAUGCACAGUGUGGAUGAUGGCCGGAAUCGGAAAUCCCUAAUCGGAUGAGCGACCGGAAGUGAGGAAAAUAGUUAUUUGUG
rnacentral:lncRNA from 1 species